GGCGGGCCCAUUGCGUUCUCUUUCUGCAUUGCUUCGUUAAUGGUUUCCGGCUCUGCUUCAUCCUUUGCCUUUGGUGUGCGGCCCGUCAUCUCCGCAUCGUCGCCAUGUCUUCCGACACUGCCGCGUCCUGUCUUCUGGACAUUGUCGUCUUCGCAGGCGGCGACUCACUGGAUCUGAUGCCGCUGACUGCCGUGGAGCAGAAGACGAUGCUGCGGAUCUGCAACCGGCCUCUGAUUUGGUACGCCAUCACGCCGUGGAUCGAGGCAGGCUUUCGCUGCUUCUUCUUGUGCGUCAACGAGGACUACGCGACACUGCGAGCGUACCUCUCUCGGGCUUUUGACGGCGUCGACUUCCACUAUAUUCUUGUCCCCUCCAACAUAGGUGAUCACCCGUCCACAACGUGCGAUGCCGUCAAGGCGUACCUCAAGUACAAGGAGGCUCUGCGGCUUGGCGAGGAGGGCACGCUCGCCGAGGUUGCUCGUGGCAUGCCGGAUCGCAACGACUCCGCGAUGAGCGUGGAGGCCAGCGGCGGCCGCUCUCCUUCUGUGAUGUCACUGCAUGAGGCGCAGCAGUACCGCGGCGCCAGUGGCAGCCGAAAUCACGGUGGCAGCACCAGCCACAGCAAUCGCGACCCGUUGAAGCUCGAGCGCAUGAACAGCGCCGGCCUCCCGCGCGACGCUCUGUUGCUGAGCUGCGACACCAUCCUUGUCGACGUUGACGUAGCGAGCUUCGUGGAGCGGCACUACGCCUCUCUGGCGUCCGUGACGGCAAUGCUGUAUCGCCCUCUGCGCAAGCGCGGCGGCGGCGGCGAUCACAAGGGCGGCCACCGACACGGGAAGGGUGGCGGUGGUGCUUCAGCCGACUCUGUGGAGGUGUCUUACACCCACGCGCUGUCGUGUGUUGCCUACGAGGAGACAGAUGCGCUUGCCUCCAUGGCACUCGGUGCGGCCUCUAGCGCACCAACCUCCUCAUGUAGCCGACAUUUGCCGAGUGGGACGCCGCCGCAGUUGCUGCACGCAUCUGCCGGCCUGGUUGCACGCUCACCCUGCGAGGCGCGCAUCAUGGCUGCCGAGCCCGUUCACGUCCACCACCACCGCAUGCACUACCUCAACUCGCUGGAGGGCAAGCCGGAGGUGCGUAUUACCAUGGCGUUCGCAGCGCGCCGUCCUGACUUGACGUUCGCCGCCGAUGUUGUCGACGCGCACGCGUACCUGAUGAGCCGUUGGGUGCUCGAGUUUAUUGCGGAGUCGGCAGGUGUUUCGGACAUGAGCGUGCGCAAGGACAUUCUGCCUCUUCUGGCACGUAGUCAACACACCACCGUCAAUGCAGCCGAAAAAGUCUUCGUGACGCCGGCAGAAAAGCUGAAAAUGAACGUGCCGCUCCACUGGCUCGGAGAGGGUGCCGAGAUCUCGGCGCAGUCGCUCAACGCCGCGUGUGGGUUUUCGCUGCCGGAGGUGACAGACUCGCUGCGCGUGUUCUGCACCAUCUACGAGGAGGACCCUGACGUGGCGUGCCGCAUCUGCCGCAUGAACACCCGCGACAAUUACCGUGCCCUGAACCGCGACAUCAUCUCCGCCAAGUGUUCCCAGCUUCAGCUAGAGGAGCCACUGCUGAGCGCCGGCGGUGCUGCGGGCGCUGGUGGUGCAUUCGGCGGAGGCACCAGUGCCGUGAACCGCUUCGCGCUGCCUUCCUUGCUCCCCCAUGGCGGCGCGCACGCCGGACACACCGUUGCUGCUGGUGGAGCAGCGCAUGGCGACAGCGGCAAACCGGCACCGUCCGCUGGCGCUGUGGCCCUUUCCUCACUCCUUCCGGACAACCCGAUCACGCUUCGGGAGAAGUUUGGCGACCAGCAGGUGUGUAUUGUCGGCAGCUUUAUCGACUCCGUCCCGCCGCCGAACGUGUUCGUGACGCGCAGUGUGAUCGGCGCGCACGUCACGCUGGAGCCCGGCGUUCGCAUCACGGACAGCAUCCUCAUGGGCAACGUCGAGAUUGGUGCCAAGGCCGUCGUGUCGAAUAGCGUCAUCGGCACCGGUGCCGUGGUGAGCGCCGGAUGUCGCGUUGUGGGCACCAUUGUCGGGCCCCGUUGCGUCGUCGAGGAGAACGCAAGUGACACCAUAAUUGAGUAACUCUGAACUAGCUUGAACCUGCGUCUCUCUCUCUCUCUCUGUGUGUGUGCGCGCGCGCGCGUUUUUGUGUGCGAGGGCGCGUGCUUGUAUAUCCGCAGCAGAGAGCCGCGGUGGGUAAUACAGAUAGGGACAGACACAGGCGGAGGUGGGCAUUGUCUGUCUUUGUAUUUCACUCUUCGCCUACUCUCCAUGGUUCGCGCUCCCCACUCUCUCUGUAUGUCUCUGUGUCUGUGCUCACGGCCGAGGUCGCUGGCGCUGUCGCUGCCGUGUUGGGUGUUCUUCGUCCACGUUGGCGAUACAAACGCGCGAGCACGGCGCACAUCGUGAGCGACAGCCGCUGCGCCGGAAAUGGCAGCAAACGAUCG
rnacentral:misc_RNA from 1 species